rnacentral:rRNA from 1 species
ACGGGAGGCAGCAGUGGGGAAUAUUGCACAAUGGGUGAAACCCUGAUGCAGCGACGCCGCGUGAGUGAAGAAGUAUUUCGGUAUGUAAAGCUCUAUCAGCAGGGAAGAUAAUGACGGUACCUGACUAAGAAGCCCCGGCUAACUCCGUGCCAGCAUCCGCGGUAAUACGUAGGGGGCAAGCGUUAUCCGGAUUUACUGGGUGUAAAGGGAGCGUAGGUGGUUUGGCAAGUCUGAUGUGAAAGCCCGGGGCUUAACUCCGGGAUUGCAUGGGAAACUGUCAAACUAGAGUACUGGAGAGGCAAGUGGAAUUCCUAGUGUAGCGGUGAAAUGCGUAGAUAUUAGGAGGAACACCAGUGGCGAAGGCGGCUUGCUGGACAGUUACUGACACUGAGGCUCGAAAGCGUGGGGAGCAAACAGGAUUAGAUACCCUGGUA